CUCCAUGUUUCCAUGGGACCUGCCAACGUGGCAGCAUCCCUUCCUACUCAUGGUAGAGGAACCGUCACCUUGCCUUUUGGCAUAGCUCCCACCAUUUAAUUGGGGCGAGACUCUGACUUGGGCAAGUAACAGUG